UAAAGCUUAGGAUCAAACUAAACCGAGGGCCUUCAAAGCCCUAGAAAAGAGCACCAAAUCUCUUAGCUUUUG
rnacentral:tRNA from 1 species